GUAUAUAUAAGCAGCACAUAUACUAAAAUUGGAACGAUACAGAGAUUAGCAUGGCCCCUGCGCAAGGAUGACAUGCAAAACCGUGAAGUGUAGGAUGCAGUG
ensembl:snRNA U6 U6 spliceosomal RNA